GAUGAAGACGCAGCGAAAUGCGAUACGUAAUGUGAAUUGCAAAUUCAGUGAAUCAUCGAGUCUUUGAACGCACAUUGCGCCCCCUGGUAUUCCGGGGGGCAUGCCUGUCCGAGCGUCAUUACUGCCCUCAAGCCCGGCUUGUGUGUUGGGCCCCGUCCUCCGAUCCCGGGGGACGGGCCCGAAAGGCAGCGGCGGCACCGCGUCCGGUCCUCGAGCGUAUGGGGCUUUGUCACCCGCUCUGUAGGCCCGGCCGGCGCUUGCCGAUCAACCCCAAUUUUUUAUAGGUUGACCUCGGAUCAGGUAGGGAUACCCGCUGAACUUAAGCAUAUCAAAGCGGAGGA
rnacentral:misc_RNA from 1 species